rnacentral:lncRNA from 1 species
UUCAUACCAAAUGGAAUGCAACAUAUUAUAAUAAUAGAAAGCAGUUAGGAGUAGAAGAUAACUGUAUAGGUAUAAAUUACAGUCAUCCAAAAUAGAGGGGAAAUUAAAACGACAAGUAACUCAAGUACAAAGGUCCAAGGUUUUGCAAAAUAUGAUAAGCUAAAAAGAAAUAAAACAACAUGAUUGCCUAAGCACUAGGUGUUGGAUCUUCCUCAGUCUCCCACGCCUGCUCCAAGGGUACCGCAUCACCUACUGCUCACAUCCAAAGGAUUGGAUGAUCAUCGCAAGGGAGGAAGCAAACACACACAACAUACAAGUGCAAGGGUGAGCUAGGUCUCAAACAAUCAUACAAUUCAUUGCAAGAACGUUCAUACACACUUAAACAUAUAAGUCAUCAUAAUCAUAAACAUUGAUUUCACAAAACUCACUAAAGCAAACAUCAUGUCAUGUUAAGACUCCUAGACACGUCCGGACAUAGAAUGUAUAUAGAGCUGGGGCGGGUUGUGCACUUGUGAUGGCCCUACUGCUUUGCAAAGCCAUUGCCGAGGGGUUCCACCCGACCAUACACAAGGCUGGUCCGUUACCGCAGUAUAGGCCUACAGUGAAAGCGCCUACCCUAGGACCUCCCACUACUCUCACCACACGCGUCAAUCCUCUCUAAGUGAGAAUGAAGACCGUUAGAGUGUUAGGGAUAACCCCCCAUAGUGGAAGCCUCUUACAUACAUUCAAUACACUACUUGAUCCCACCGAGAGAUCUUAAUUGCGCAACCGAAUCCAACCAAUUCACUUACUUGAUAAUUUUCCAAGUCAUAUAAAUCAUGCACACCUUAAUUUGCCACAAACAAUUAGAUAAACCAACCAACCACAAGCUCUAAGCAAUAAACCGAACACUAGUAGCAGUGGCCGAACCAUUGGGAUUGAAUUGGGUACCAUUAGCAGGCACCCUGGCCAGACCGAACGGUUACGGGAUG